rnacentral:lncRNA from 1 species
GGGUGGGGGUAGGGGGGAGGUAUAGCAUUGGGAGAUAUACCUAAUGGUAGAUGACGAGUUAGUGGGUGCAGCACACCAGCAUGGCACAUGUAUACAUAUGUAACUAACCUGCACAAUGUGCACAUGUACCCUAAAACUUAAAGUAUAAUAAAAAAAAAAGAUGGAAAGGAAAAACUGGUACCAGCCACUGCAAAAAUGUACUGAAGUACAAAGACCAAUGACACUAUGAAGAAACUGCAGCAACUAGUGAGCAAAAUAACCAGCUAGCAUCAUGGUGACAGGAUCAAAUCCACGCAUAACAAUAUUAACCUUAAGUGUCAAUGGGCUAAAUGUACCAAUUAAAAGACACAGACCAGCAAUUUGGAUAUAAAGAGUCAAGAUUCAGGUGUGCUGUAUUCAGGGUUCCUAUCUCAUGUGGAAAGACACACGUAGGCUCAAAGGGAUGGAGGAAAAUUUACCAAGCAAAUGGAAAGCAGAAAUAAGCAGGGGUUGCAAUCCUAGUUUCUGACAAAACAGACUUUGAAUCAACAAAGAUAAAAAAAAGACAAAGAAUAGCAUCACACAAUGAUAAAGGAAUCAAUUCAACAAGAAGAGCUAACUAUCCUAAAUAUGUAUGCACCCAAUACAGGAGAACCCAGAUUCAUAAAACAAGUCUUUAGAGACCUACAAAGAGACUCAGGCUCCCAUACAACAAUAGUCGGAGACAUUAACACCCCAUUGUAAAUAUUGGAUCAUCUAGACAGAAAAUUAACAAGAAAGGACUGGAACACAGCUCUGGAUCAAGUGAAUCUCAUAGAUAUCUACAGAACUCUCCAACACAAAACAACAGACUAUAUAUUAUUCUCAGUGGCAUAUGACACUCUAAAGUUGAUCACAAAAUUAGAAUUAAAACACUCCUCAGCAAAUGCAAAAUAACUGAAAUCAUAACAAUCUCUCAGACCACAGUGCAAUCAAAUUAGAACUCAAGAUUAAGAAACUCACUCAAAACCACACAACUACAUGGAAAUUGAACAACCUGCUCCUGAGUGACUUCUGGGUAAAUAAUAAAAUUAAGGCAGAAAUCAAGAAGUUCUUUGAAACCAAUGAGAACAAAGAGACAAUGUACCAGAAUCUCUGGGAGGCAACUAAAGCAGUGUUAAGAGGUAAAUUUAUAGCACUAAAUGCCCGCAUCAUAAAGCUAGAAAUAUCUCAAAUCAAUACCCUAACAUCACAACUAAAAGAACUAGAGAAGCAAGAGCAAACAAAUCCAAAAGCUAGCAGAAGAGAAAAAAAAAAUGACUAAGAUCAAAGUGGAACUGAAGGAGACAGAGACAUGAAAAACCCUUCAAAAAAAAAAAAACAAGAAAUAAAACGUGUUCAAAUAGCAAGAGAUAAAAUCAAAUUGUCUCUGUUUGCAGAAAACGUGAUUCUAUAUCUAGAAAACCACAUUGUCACAGCCCAAAAACUCCUUAAGCUGAUAAGCAAGUUCAGCAAAGUCUGAGGAUACAAAAUCAAUGUGCAAAAAUCACAAGCAUUCUUAUACACCAGCAAUAGACAAUAUUCUUCAAUUCCUAUACACCAAUAAUAGACAAGAGAGCCAAAUCAUGAAUGAACUCCCAUUCACAAUUGUUACAAAGAGAAUAAAAUACCUAGGAAUACAGCUAAUGAUGGGUGUGAAGAACCUCUUCAAGGAGAACUACAAGCCACUGCUCAAAGAAAUAAGAGAGGACACAAACAAAUGGAAAAAUAUUCCAUGCUCAUGGGUGGGAAGAAUCAGUCUCAUGAAAAUGGCCAUACUGCCCAAAGUAAUUUAUAGAUUCAGUGCUAUUCACAUCAAACUACCAUUGACAUUCUUCACAGAAUUAAAAAAAAAACUACUUUAAAUUUCAUAUGCAACCAAAAAAGAGACUCAAUAGUCAAGACAAUCCUAAGCAAAAAGAACAAAGCUGGAGGCAUCAUGCUAUAUGACUUCAAACUAUACUGCAAGGCCACACUAAUCAAAACAGCAUGGUACUGAUACCAAAACAGACACACAGACCAAUGGAACAGAAUAGAGAUCUCAGAAAUAAGACCACACAUCUACAACCAUCUGAUCUUUGACAAACCUGACAAAAACAAGCAAUAGGGGAAGGAAUACCUAUUUAUUCAUUUAUUUAUUUUGAGACAAAGUCUCACUCUGUCACCAGGCUGGAGUGCAGUGGCAUGAUCUCAGUUCAUUGCAACCUCUGCCUCCCGGAUUCAAGUGAUUCUCCUGCCUCAGUCUCCCGAGUAGCUGGGACUACAGGUUCGAGCCACCACGCCCAGCUAGUUUUUGUAUUUUUAGUAGAGACGGGAUUUCACCAUGUUGGCCAGGAUGGUCUUGAUCUCUUGACCUCAAGAUCCACCCAUAUCAGCCUCCCAAAGUGCUGAGAUUAUAGAUGUGAGCCACCGCACUUGGCCAGGAUUCCCUAUUUAAAUGGUGCUGGGAAAACUGACUAGCCAUAUGCAGAAAACUGAAACUGGACCUCAUCCUUACACCUUAUGCAAAAAUUAACUCAAGAUGGAUUAAAAACUUAAAUGUAAAACCCCAAACCGUAAAAAACCCUAGAAGAAAAUCUAGGAAGUUCCAUUCAGGACAUAGGCAUAGGCAAAGAUUUUAUGAUGAAAUCAUCAAUAGCAAUUGCAACAAAAGCAAAAAUUGACAAAUGGGAUCUAAUUAAACGUAAGCACUUCUGCACAGGGAAAGAAACUAUCAUCAGAGUGAACAAGCAACCUAUAGAAUGGGAGAAUAUUUUUGCCAUCUACCAAUCUGACAAAGGUCUAAUAUCCAGAAUCUACAAGGAACUUAAACAAAUUUACAAGAAAAUAAUAACCCCAUCAAAAUGUGGGCAAAGGCCAUGAACAGACAUUCUGAAAAGAAGACAUUUAUGCGUCCAACAAACAUAUGAAAAAAAAAAAGCUCAACAUCAGUGUUUAUUAGAGAAAUGCAAAUCAAAACCACAAUGAGAUACCAUCUCAUGCCAGUCAGAAUGGCAAUUAUUAAAAAGUCAAGAAACAACAGAUGCUAGAGAGGCUAUGGAGAAACAGGAACACUUUUAUACUGUUGGGAACGUAAACUAGUUCAACCAUUGUGGAAGACAGUGUGGCAAUUCCUGAAGGAUCUAGAAGCAGAAAUACCAUUUGACCCAGCAAUCCCAUUACUAGGUUUAUAUCCAAAGAAAUCUAAAUCAUUCUAUUUUAAAGAUACAUGCACACUUAUGUUUAUUGCAGCACUAUUCACAAUAGCAAAGACAUGGCAUCAACCCAAAUUUCUAUCAAUGAUAGAUUGGAUAAAGAAAAUGUGAUACAUAUGCACCAUGGAAUACUAUGCAGCCAUAAAAAGGAAUGAGAUCCUGUCUUUUGCAGGGACAUGGAUGAAGCUGGAAGCCAUAAACUUCAGCCAAUUAACACAGGAACAGGAAACCAAACACCACAUGUUCUCAUAAGUGGGAACUGAACAAUGAGAACACAUGGACACGGAGGGGCAGAACACACACCGGAGCCUGUUGGGAAGGUAGGGGGAAGGAGAGCAUCAAGAUAAAUAGCUAAUGCAUGUGGGGCUUAAUACCUAGGUGAUAGGUUGAUAGGUGCAGCAAACCACCAUGGCACAUGUUUAACUAUGUAACAAACCUGCACAUCCUGUACAUGUAUCCUGGAACUUAAAAUAAAAUAGAAAAGACAAAGAAGGAUAUUACAUAAUGGCAAAGGCUUCAAUUCAACAAGAAGACCUAACUAUCCUAAAUAUAUAUUCAUCCAACACAGGAGCACCCAGAUUCAUAAGUAAAGUUCUUAGAGACCUACAAAGUAUGUUUCACAGUAAUAGUGGGAGACUUUCACACUCCAAUGACAGUAUUAGAUCAUUGAGGCAAAAAAAUGAACAAAGAUAUUCAGGACCUGAACUCAACAUUGGAUCAAAUGGAUCUGAUAGACCUUUACAGAACUCUGCACUCAAAAACAACAGAAUAUGCAUUCCUCACAUCAUCAUAUGCCACAUACUCUAAAAUCAACCACAUAAUUGGACAUAAAGCAAUCCUCAGCAAAUGCAAAACAACUGAACUCAUACCAAAUACACACUGAGAUCACAGUGCAGUAAAAAUAGAAGACUAAGAAAAUUGCUGAAAAUCAUGCAAUUACAUGGAAAUCAAUCAACAUGCUCCUGAAUGACUUUUUAAUAAAUAAUGAAAUUAAGGCAGAAAACAAGAAGUUCUUUGAAAAUAAUGAGAACAAAGUUGCAACAUACUAGAGCCUCUGGACAUAGCUAAGGCAAUGUUAGGAGGGAAAUUUAUAGCACUAAAUCCCACAUCAAAAAGUUAGGAAGAACUCAAAUUAAUAACCUAACAUCACAACGGAAAGAACUAGAGAAGCAAGACAAAACCCCAAAGCUAGAGGAAGACAAGAAAUAACUGAAAAUCCGAGCUGAAUUCAAAGAAACCGAGACAUGAAGAAAAAAAAAUUCAAAAGAUCUACGAAUUCAGGGUAGGUUUCUUGAAAAUAUUAAUAAGAAAGUCUGCUAGCAGACUAAUACAGAGGAUGAUUGAAAUAAACACAAUUAGAAAUGACAAAGGGAAUGUAAUUACCACUGACCCCACAGAAAUAGAAACAACCAUCAGAAACUACUGCAAACACUUCUGUGCAUACAAACUAGAAAACUUCAAAGAGAUGGAUAAAUUCCUGGACAAAUACACCCUCCCACAACUGAGCCAGGAAGAAAUUGAUUUGCUGAACAGACCAAUAACAAGCUCCGAAAUUGAAUCAGUAAUAAAUAACCUACCAAUCAAAAAAAGCCCAGAACAUGAUGGAUUCCCAGCCAUAUUCUACUAGAAGUACAAAGAAGAGCUGGUACCAUUUUUACAGGAACUAUUUGAAAAUAUUGAGGAGGAGGAACUCCUCCCCAACUCAUUCUAUGAGGCCAACAUCAUCUUGAUACCAAAAUCUGGCACACACACACACACACACACACACACACACACACACACACAAACUUCAGGCCAAUACCCUUGAUGAACAUCAAUGCAAAAAUCCUCAACAAAAUACGGGCAAACCAAAUCCAGCAGCACAUCAAAAAGUUAAUCCAUCAUGAUCAAGUAUGCUUCAUCCCCAGGAUGCAAGGUUGCCUCAACAUACACGUCAAUUAAUCUGAUUCAUCCCAUAAACAAAACUAAAGAUAAAAACCAUGUGAUUAUCUCAAUAUAUGCAGAAAAGGCUUUCAAUAAAAUUCAAGGCCUCUCCAUAUUAAAAACUCUAAAAAAUCUGGGUAUUGAGGAAACAUAGCUCAAAGUGAUGAGCUGUUUUUGUACCAGUAUCAUGCUGUUUUGGUUACUGUAGCCCUGUAGUAUAGUUUGAAGUUGGGUAACAUGAUGCCUCCAGCUUUGUUCUUUUUGCUGAGGAUUGCUUGGCUAUUAGGGCUCUUUUUUUUUUUGGUUCCAUAUGAAUUUUGAAAUAGUUUGCUCUAGUUCUGUGAGGAAUGCCAUUGGUAAUUUAAUAGGGAUAACUUGCAUCUGUAAAUUACUUUGGGCAGUAUAGCCAUUUUAAUGAUGUUAAUUCUUCCUAUCCAUGAGCAUGAAAUGUUUUUCCAUUUGUUUGUGUCUUCUCUGAUUUCUUUGAGCAGUGUUUUGUAAUUCUCCUAGAGAUCUCUUAGAGAUCUUUCACCUCCCUGGUUAGCUGUAUUCCUAGGUAUUUUAUUUUUUCUGUGUGUAGCAAUUAUGAAUGGGAUUAUGUUCUUCAUUUGACUCUCUGCUUUACUGCUAGGAAUUUUUGCACAUUGAUUUUGUAUGCUAAGACUUUGCUAAAGUUUAUCAGCAGAAGGAGCUUUGGGGCUAAGACUAUGGGGUUUUCUAGAUAUAGAAUCAUGUCAUCUGUAAACAGAGACAGUUUGACUUCCUGUCUAUUCCUCUCUUCCCUCCUCUAUUUGGAUGCCCUUCCAGUUUUGCACAUUCAGUGUAAUGUUGGCUGUGGGUUUGCCAUGGCUAGCUCUCAUCAUUUUGGCACUUCCGACUAGAAGUGCGAGAGGGGCCAGUGUUGUUGUUACCUGAAAGGUAAGUGCAGCCCACAAAAAUGCAGUGAAGAAGAAGAUAUAUGCAUAUGUUUAAGUUAAUACAAUUGAGAUACAUUUAGCAGACAGAAUCAAUAGAGUUGAUGAGUGACUGACUGGAUGUGUGGGGAGUUUAUAUCACUCCCAGGUUUUUGACUUGGGCAACCGGGCACUCAAGAAGGAAAAAGAGGAUCCAGGGAGAGGAACUUUUCUGAGGACUGGGGUAGGGCUGAACAGCUGCAUUCGAGACUGGUGGAGGGUGGGCUGGGCAUGGGAUGCACAAAUGGAAAUUCCACUGGGUCUGCAGCUCACACAUAGGCAUGACCAGCAUAGAGAUAGAGAGGCCCCAGUGCUGCUGAGUAACUGUGAUUCCCCAGGUGAUGGCAUCAGCUGAGAAGGGAAGGAAGCCCAUGUGAGGACACUGAAGAAGGAGUGAGCAGACAAUAAGAAGCCCACAGAAGACAGAGAAGGAACAACUAGAGGGAGAAGCCAAGGCAGGCAUGUGUGAUAACAUAUAGGAACUGAGGGAGAGGACAUUUCAAGAUGGAGGGGAUGCCAUACAACAGGACUAUGUGAUGGUUUUUGGCUGUGUCCAUAGGAAGUCACAACAGGCAAGGGAAAGAAACCAGAACCCAGUCAUGGAGUUAAGAAGUGAGUCAGAGAGGAGAUGGGUAGGGACAGUGAGGUAAGGCCUCUUUCUAAGGAAGUUUGGCUGAAGGAUAGACUAGCUGGACACAUGCUGGCUGUGUGGGGUAGAGGGAGGAAUGAUGGAGGGUAGGAGAGCCUUGAGCCUGCGAGAAGAGUCUCCUAGAAUAGAGAAGCUGAGGUUAAAGUUGUGGAAGACAGUGGGGAUAACUGAGUGACAGAUAAUCAGGAGAAGAAAAGGAGAUCCAGAAUCAUGACAGAGAGAUGACCUUUGCCAAGAGCACAGCCAUCUUUCACUGUCACAGAGAGGUAGGACAAAACGAUUGGUGUUCAAGAAUUGGUUUGUAGCACAAUAUUUUAACUAUGUCCUUUAAAAAGUUUCUCCACAGACACUACCCAAAGCAGUCCUUCACUACAGUGGCAGACAGACCUGAAAAUUUUCAUCUGAAGCAGCAGAGUGAACUGCAGAGUCAGGUCACCAACCAGUGUGGAGGCUAAAAGCGGGCCUCUUUGGGGAUUCCAGGUGGAAGUGUUGGACAUCUGUAGUAUUCCUGGUCUCAAAUCAUCCUGAUAUUCUUCAUUUUGUUAUUCACAUUGGACUAGGGCAAGGAAAUGAGUUCUGGUCAGAGUCAAUGUUUCCCAACAAUGUUGAUUUAUUUGGUCCUAAAUAUUUAAACACAUUUUAUAAAUAGCUUUUCCACACCACAUAUAUAGGGAAAAACAGGGAAUUAACUUGGCCCAGCAGCACUGUUUGUGGGGCUAACACCCUGUGUAUCUCACACCAACCCUAAGCUUUGUUUCCCUCCUGUCACUUUGCUCCUAUUUCUUUCAUAUGAAAGAAUGUUCAUUUUCUUUGAAAAUGAGCUCAUUUCCUCAUUUUCUUUCCAUCUUUCAGCAGGAACAAAGAUCACCACAACUGGCUCCCCUUCAACUAUGUUAGAUGGCAACUUGCCUUCAGUAUGGUGAAACACAUCAGUUAAGACUGGGGUUGUGCAUGGCAGGACUUUCUACAAGGACACCCAGUCUCCUUAAUAAACAUGAGAUGCUCUCUUUCCAGAAGUUCUCUUGCCUGACACAGCAUAGGAAGAUGCUGAACGGCCA